CCUACGGGUGGCAGCAGUGAGGAAUAUUGGUCCAUGGGCGAGAGCCGGAACCAGCCAAGUCGCGUGAAGGAUGACGGCCCUACGGGUUGUAAACUUCUUUUGUCAGGGAGCACUUGGGUCCACGCGUGGGCUUAGCGAGAGUACCUGAAGGAAAAGCAUCGGCUAACUCCGUGCCAGCAGCCGCGGUAAUACGUAGGAGGCGAGCGUUAUCCGGAUUUAUUGGGUGUAAAGGGUGCGUAGGUGGUAUAUCAAGUCAGCGGUGAAAGGUUAGGUCUCAACCGUAUUAAGCCUUUGAAACUGGGGAACUUGAGUGCAGGAGAGGAGAGUGGAAUUCCUAGUGUAGCGGUGAAAUGCGUAGAUAUUAGGAGGAACACCAGUUGCGAAGGCGGCUCUCUGGACUGUAACUGACACUGAGGCACGAAAGCGUGGGGAGCAAACAGGAUUAGAUACCCGUGUAGUC
rnacentral:rRNA from 1 species